UGCAACCCCCCCCCCCCCACUCAGCGGGCGCCCAUGGUUAUGAGCUGCAUAUUUAUUAAGCAUAAAAGAAGUUAUUAAAAGCUCUAAAAAAUCGAAUGAAUAAUGUUUAAAACAACUCUUUAAUCAUUAACAUGUAGAUAGACUAGACUAAUGUUAAUCAUCAAAUGAGUUAUUAAAAUCAAAAAGAAGCCAACAUUAACCUAAAAAUUCUAAUGAAUAAUACCUAAAAUAACUUUAAUCAAAAGUAUGUAAGUAUUAAGGAAGUAAUAAUGGUAUCAACGCCAAACAUCAUACGCGUAAUUAAAAUAAAAGGAACCCAAGAUUAACCUAAAGAAAUCUAAUGCAUAAUGCAAAGAAAAACUACAGUGGUAUUACAUUCCUCAUUGUGUUAUUGAUAUGAUCUUAUCUUAUAUAAUACAGACGU